rnacentral:sRNA from 1 species
GCUGGGCGCCAUGGUCACGCCUGUCAUCCCAGCAGCUCGGGAGGCUGAGGCAGGAGGAUCACGAGUUCAAAGUUAGCCUCAGCAAGGCCCUAAGCAACUCAGCGAGACCCUGUCUCUA